CCUACGGGAGGCAGCAGUGGGGAAUAUUGCGCAAUGGGCGAAAGCCUGACGCAGCGACGCCGCGUGAGGGAUGAAGGUCUUCGGAUCGUAAACCUCUGUCAGCAGGGAAGAACGGUCACUGUGCUAAUCAGCAGUGAAUUGACGGUACCUGCAAAGGAAGCACCGGCUAACUCCGUGCCAGCAGCCGCGGUAAUCCGGAGGGUGCGAGCGUUAAUCGGAAUUACUGGGCGUAAGGCGCUCGUAGGCGGUAUGUCAAGUCAAGGGUGAAAUCCCCGCGCUCAACGUGGGAACUGCCUUUGAAACUGGCAAACUGGAGUGUGUGAGAGGAUAGUGGAAUUCCAGGUGUAGGAGUGAAAGCCGUAGAUAUCUGGAGGAACAUCAGUGGCGAAGGCGACUAUCUGGCACAUAACUGACGCUGAGGAGCGAAAGCGUGGGUAGCAAACAGGAUUAGAUACCCCAGUAGUC
rnacentral:rRNA from 1 species